AAGUCGUAACAAGGUUUCCGUAGGUGAACCUGCGGAAGGAUCAUUAAAUUCAGUAGCUUGCUACUGUUAAGGAGGGUCUAUUAGUCUGUAUAGUAUCACUACUGAUGAGCAGCACGACCCUCUGUCUAUACCCUUGUCUUUUGCGCACUCAUGUUUCCUCGGCGGCUUGAUACCCGCCGGCUGGAUCAAUCCUAUAACCUUUUUAAUUUUCAAUCAGCGUCUGAAAAACCUAAUAAUUACAACUUUCAACAACGGAUCUCUUGGUUCUG
rnacentral:misc_RNA from 1 species